GUGAAUCAUCGAAUCUUUGAACGCACAUUGCACUCUAUUCUGUAGAGUAUGCCUGUUUGAGAAUCUAUAGUAUUUCUUUUAGGAAUUUUUUUAAAAUGCCUAAAGAUCUGAGGCCUUCUCUCCUUCAGGAGAGUGCCUUGAAAUAGAUUAUCUGUACCUCGAGAAGAUGUCUGACGUCUCUUAACAACAGAACAGUAUUUGAAUGGUUUUCAACCUCAAUGCCUACUAAGUUGCUAGGGAAAUAGUCGAUCGAGCUAUAGGUCCAUAAACUAUAGUGCUCCUUCCUCUUGAGGAAAGAGC
rnacentral:misc_RNA from 1 species